rnacentral:lncRNA from 10 species
CUAGGGGCCUCUCACUGACCAAAGCCACACUUCUUAAACCCCAAGGCAGAGCUCAUUUCUUCUGACUUUAUCCAGAAUUGUAAUACGCUUGGUUAUCUUUCUGGUUUCAAGAUCCAAAGCAGCCUGACAACAGUAAACUAAACAGGGGGAAUGGGAACUAGUCUAUUAGCAACUACUAACAACAGAGGUGACAGCCCGUAGCCUGGCAGAGGUGAGAUGCAGAAAAAUUAGGAAGAACAAAUCCCGAGAAAGUCAAAACAGUGGCCUGGGGCCAUUGAGCUAAGGGCUAAGAAGUUCCUCAUUCACCUCCUGGGGAUGAAGUUGCUACUACUCAUAAUGCAUUCUGAAAAGAAAGGCAGGUCAUUUAUAAAGAUUUCAAAACAUAAAGAGAUGAAUUUUGUUGCCUAGAAAAUCCCCUGAGCAGGCUGGGAAAUGAGGCCAUACUGAACAUGGCAAGAGUACCCACCUAGAAUUAGAGAGCCUGCAGCCCACGCCCAGGUCAGGGAACA